rnacentral:rRNA from 1 species
AUUUUCCGGUUGAUCCUGCCGGACCCCACUGCUGGACCCGACCGCUAUCGGGGUGGGACUUAGCCAUGCAAGUCGAACGCCCCGGGCUAUGGCGGGGCGUGGCGUACGGCUCAGUAACGCGUGGCUAACCUACCCUCGGGACGGGGAUAACCCCGGGAAACUGGGGCUAAUCCCCGAUAGGGGAAGGCGCCUGGAAUGGUCCUUCCCCCAAAGGGAUGUAGCGCCAUGCCCGCUACAUCCGCCCGAGGAUGGGGCUGCGUCCCAUCAGGUAGUUGGCGGGGUAACGGCCCGCCAAGCCUAUAACGGGUAGGGGCCGUGAGAGCGGGAGCCCCGAGAUGGGCACUGAGACAAGGGCCCAGGCCCUACGGGGUGCAGCAGGCGCGAAACCUCCGCAAUGCGGGAAACCGCGGCGGGGUCACCCCGAGUGCCACCCGAAGAGGGUGGCUUUUCCCCGGUGUAAAAACCCGGGAGAAUAAGCGGGGGGCAAGUCUGGUGUCGGCCGCCGCGGUAAUACCAGCCCCGCGAGUGGUCGGGACGUUUAUUGGGCCUAAAGCGUCCGUAGCCGGCCAGGUGUGUCCUCCCUGAAAUCCUCGGGCUCAACCCGAGGGCUGGGGAGGAUACUACCUGGCUAGGGGGCGGGAGAGGCCGAGGGUACUCUCGGGGUAGGGGCGAAAUCCUAUAAUCCCGGGAGGACCGCCAGUGGCGAAGGCGCUCGGCUGGAACGCGCCCGACGGUGAGGGACGAAAGCUGGGGGAGCAAAGGGGAUUAGAUACCCCCGUAGUCCCAGCUGUAAACGAUGCGGGCUAGGUGUUGGGUGGGCUUUGAGCCCACCCAGUGCCGCAGGGAAGCCGUUAAGCCCGCCGCCUGGGGAGUACGGCCGCAAGGCUGAAACUUAA